GUUUGCUCCUGAUGUGACCACAAUCUCCAUUCUCUCCUAGAUCAGCUUAGAAAUAGUCAAGGAGGCAUGAGGGGAUUUCGGGGUUUGUGACCUCGAGCUGUUCUAGGACAUUCUGUAAAAAACAUUCUGCUUUCAUCUCAGAAUAUCUGAACAAUUGUGAAGAGCUGAGGAGACAGGGAGAAGGCCCUAUUUCUAGAACAGGCCCAGGACACAGUGUGAGAAGACAAACAGGAAAGGGGCCUUUGGGCUUGGAGCAGACAGAUGGCCGGCAACGCCAAAGGCUGCGUGUGUUAAAAUAUGCAUUGGCCGGAAAGAGCCUGAGGUCUUCUGUGACCAGGAUCCAGUGCCCAGGCAGCCCUGGGGCUCAGCCUGCAGGUGGGUUGCACGAAGGUUCGAAGGCAUCACACAUCCAAGCAACACACUCGUCCUCAGGAGGUCGCCAUGGCACGGAACUGUCUGCUGCCUGAUGGGGAGGCCCUCGGAUUCCCUCAUCAACCUGUUCAUUCCAGACGUGCAGCCAGCAGGUCCCAAGGCAAAUAUGAGCUCUGGACCAGCACCAUACACCCCAGGGCUGAUAAGGUCAUACAGCUGCUCUCCCAGCACAGCCGCACCGUGGUGAGCCGGGCCGUGAGCUGGUAUGUAGACCAAUCGGGCCGUGUUUUCUACACGUUCUGUGCUGUGGGUCCACGCGAGAGUGGGGGAACGAGUGCGUGUGCAGAGCAGAGCUAGGGCCGCCACACAAAUAGUAUUUCCAAACUGGCAAACCCGCAAACACACGAAAGGCAAACAUUUUCGACAGCGAAUAUAUGCCCCCUUCUUCCCGCCCCGCGCAGCUAAACUGUAAUAGGAACAGCCAUUAUUCGCAGUAUCCCAGGGAUUCCUCAUUUGUUUUGCAUUAUGAGAAAUAAGGAGUCCUUGUGAAGUGCUUUUCCCCAUAGAUGUGACUUUUGAAUCCAAAUACCAAUGACGAUCUUUGUAAGUCACAUGCUCUCUGCUCUGCUGGUCUCAGAAGGGGUCGAGCUAAUGGGGUUUCCUGACUGUACCGAAG
rnacentral:lncRNA from 12 species